UAUUAUUCCUCCCCUUUGACCAUAAUUAUCCUAUAUUCUACAUUCUAUUCUAUGCAUUUGCCAUUCAUGAUUUUGAAUGCAUAAUCUGAACAUAUAGCAAACCAGUUAUAUGCUAGCUUUUGCUUAGCCCUGCCUAGUUAAAUUGCAUAAAAUAUAAUGAACUUAGAUUGGGACAGUACGCAAGAUUUGGUUGAUUUCCGGGUGGCUAGUACUGUCUCAGUCGAUAUAAGUUUACCAAGUACUUAUGUCAAACAAACGAGUACGACCGCAGCUUCUAGAAUGGGGACAGACCUAGAUAUUAUGUUAAUUAACAAUGUGGUACCUCCGUACAGUGGUUCUUAUGUAAGUCCUCGCAAAGGAGACAAACUUAUGCCGAGAAGGGCAAAUGUGAUAUUUACCGAGGCGCAGGUAAAUAUCUUGAUUAUCGCGCGAUGUGUGUGUGAAUUUAUGAAAACCUGGUUGAGAUGACGUGGGGUCUCUCAUCCAAUUCUCUCUAAAAACCCCGGGAACGCCAGAACUCCUCUCGUUGCUGAUAACAUUACGUUCAGAGCGCAUGGGGACUAGAGUUCAUGGAACAGGUACCACAAUUGUUAAUAACCUAAUACUGGGCCAUGAAUAAGCUAAUGAUUAUUGGCAUGUUAUGGACUACAGGUAAAGCAUACAUCUACUGCAGAAUGAAUAUCCUUGAAUCUAUUCGAAUAGCCGUGCUCACGGAUCUGAGCAUUGGGACUCAUAUGAGUCUAUUUGGAGUUGUUGCCGAAGCUGGGAGUUCAAUCACAUAAGUUAGUUCCCUUUAAACCUAAUCUUCAAGUCUAGUAUAAUUAGAUGGUUUAAUUCUAUAGUAAAACAGCAAAGUUGGAUCAUCAUAUAGCUUCUGCUGUAAUAGUUAACCACAAACUUGUAAAUAUCCUAUUAUUUUAUAUAAAGAUAUCUCCUUUGGAGUCU